rnacentral:lncRNA from 1 species
AUGCUGGGAGUUGGGUUCUGGUGACGCUGAUCCAGAUCGUGUUUCCCUGUUCUCCCCUCCCGUCUCCUGCGGUGUUCCCCAGGGCUCCGCUCUAGGUCCUGUCCAUUUCGUUUCCUUUCAUCUUUACAGUUCUGGCCUCCAGUUCAUAUAAUGAUUGAUUCAGUUUCUAAGGCUUUAAAUGGUCUCACCUCAGCUGCAGUAACACAAAUCUGCAGGAUUCUUGCUUGAGCCUUUUUGUACGUAUUCGAACGUCAAGGUUCACACAUUUUAGGCGAUAAGAUGUUUUCCUCUUUAACUGAUGAUGAACAGCUGUGUUCGAUGAAACCACCAUGAGUAAACAGUGUCACUGGCCUAGUGAUGAAGUUGCUGGUUUAACUCCAGUGGUAAUGCUAAACUUGAUUAAUCUAAAAUGAGCGUGGUUCAUUCAAUCAUUAUUUGUUUUACAAUAUGCAGAAGGUCUCCUAUAACUGAAUGAAAAGCCCUUCAUCCCACAUUCACUUCUGAGGCAGAGAUCUACAGUAACCGUGACUCUGCUGCUGAGGUGGGAUUUAAUAUUAACUAAAUAAAACUCUGUCACGGCAUCUUGAAUGACACUUUACUCUUUUAUCUUUACAUCUAACAGACAUGUCGUCGUUUAACUCUUCCAACUCCUCACCGGAUCCUAUUUUCACGUGCACCAACUUCAAAACGACCAUGUUCGUCUUCAGCUCCUUCGUCUUCAGCUACGUCCUCUUCCUCCCGCUCUUCUUCUUCAUCAUCUUUCUGGCCGUCCGGCAGUGGAGGGAGCAGCGCCGCAGGUCGACGGCAGCGAGGACGAGCCAUUCCGACUUCUUCACCUACAACGUGGUGGUGCUGGAGCUCAUUAAUAUUUGGGGCUUCUCUGUUCUCUGUGUUUUGCACCAGUCGGGACCAGGACGGGUCAGCAGAGACAGGAAGCAGGUCGAUCAGACCAGGCAGAGGGCCUUUAACACCAUUGCUGCCAUAAUGCUAGCGCAGUGCUGUAAGUUUGUGGGAAACCUGGUUAAUAGUGUUGUGUUUAAUUCGCCUGUGUCGACCCUCACAGACUGUGUGGUAGGAAUAUCUGCGCUGUGGCUGGGCUUUCCCUGCAGCCUGGUGCUUCGGCUGCUGUACCUGCAAAGAGCUGGGAAACUGCCAGCGCGAAGACUGAAGCAGGUGCAGCAGUCGCACAACAGAGAAGCUCAAAGCGUUGAUGUGAAAGUGUCACAUCGUUCUGUCAGUGCAGCUGUAACUGUGGAUUAGUUUGGUUCUUUGUAGUAAUAAUACGGUUUCAUCAUCUCUUAUUUUCAUUUUACAUAAAUUAGUACUUUUAGUAAAGUUGACUUUUGACUUGAUUUACUCAGAUUCAACCAAUGACUUGUGUCUCUGACCUGAUGUGUUUAAUAAACACACAAGUAUCAGGUUUGUGUUUGUACCU